AUCACUUCUUGGCCUCUUGGCUAAGAUCAAGUGUAAGGAAUUUCUAAUUAAAAUACCCAAAUGUCAUUCCUAUGACUGUCCUCAAAAUUAGGAACCUAUUUCUCUUUUUAUUGACAUUAGGCAUAUGUGAUUGUCUGGGAGAGAAAGAAGUCCAUUAUUCGUUCUUUUCCUGACCCCAU
rnacentral:snRNA from 1 species